UUUUUUUUUUUUUUUUUUUUGAGACGGAGCCUUGCUCUGUCGCCCAGGCUGGAGUGCAGUGGCGCAAUCUCGGCUUACUGCAAGCUCUGCCUCCUGGGUGCACGCCAUUCCCCUGCCUCAGCCUCCGGAGUAGCUGGGACUACAGGCGCCUGCCACUGCGCCCGGCUAAUUUGACAUUGCUCUUAAAAGUAUGUUAGAACACUUCCUUAUUCUUCAUGCAUCCAUAGAGAAAAGGAAAAGUCUUCUUAACUCUCCGGAAGAAUUAAUCAGAGGAGCAUUUCUAACUUCUUUCCACCCACUCACUCACUCUCCUUCCACUGACCAUUGAAAAUGGGGGAAGAAAAAAGCGAUGAGGCUUCCUCUUUGAAGAUCACAGGUGAGAAGAUUAGGUGCUUUCUCAGAAGCCCAGCAACCUGAUGGGAGUGUGGAGUGAGCAAGACCCAAAUCGGAGCUUCAUCCCUGCAUGGUUCAUUUUGCUUAUUUGGCAAACUUGCCCUGCAGAAUCUACUCAAGCUUCCUCAGUUUCUCAAAUCAUUCUUGGGCAACAAAUGAACAAGAAAGAGGACGUCUUAUUAUCUGGUGUCUGGCUUGCUGAUUUAAUAACCUAGGAGACAGUGUUUGAAGAACACAAACUCUAAAGUCCUUCACUUAAAAAAAAAAAAAAACUUUCCCAAAUUGCUUACCAUUUGGAAAAAUUGCCUUACCUUCUUCAGUCAUCUCUGAUGUUGUCAUCCUCAGAGUAAGAAGUACGCAUUCAUAAGGAACCAUAACGUCCUUCAGGAAAUCCAGUACACCCUACAAUUUUACCUAAAACUUUGAUGUUGUUUUUUCUGAGCAUUUUACCUUCUAGGGAAAUGGAUCUCAUGCUGUUUAUCAGUUUCUGAAAGUUGUUAUUAAUCUCCCCUCAUCCCAAAAUUGAAGAACUUUGCUUAAAUCUUAGAAUCAGAACUUUGGCUCCAGUAAUAAAGACUUUUCAAUAUCUUUAUCUGCCAUUGAGUCUUACCUAACGAAAUAAAGCCUCCAAAGUGGGAAUUUGAAAUGUUUUAGAAUCUUUUUUUUUCCUUUUGACAUAGUGAUUGGUGGGAUGCUACAGGCAGUUAGUGGUUAGGGUCCAGAAAUGCCAGACAUCUUGCAGUGAGAGGGAUAGUCUGUACAAGGAAGAAUUCUCACAUGUUCUGACUAACACUGGAUAUUAUUACAGGUGAAAACAUUGGAAUCUUGUGAACCUCAACCUGUGUUUUACAUAUGUAUACAUGAAGCAUCCAAUGGCAUUACACCUCAGCCAGAGAAGA
rnacentral:lncRNA from 1 species